rnacentral:ncRNA from 1 species
CUCUCAUGGCCAGAAGUUACAAGCUCAAGGGCUUGUAUCCAGUGCAGAGAGAUUAAAGGGGCCUGUUUCCAUUCCGUCAAGGAAGAAAAUAUAUUUGUUAUGAAUGCCGAAAGUAACUUUAAUAAGUGAAAUCCGCAACGCAUAA